UAAAAAGCAAUGAAAAGAUAAGUAUAUUUCACUGAAAGUUUAGAGAGCUCCGGUUGCUGAAAAGGGGUCUGGAAGUGGUUUAGAAAAUGGUCUUUAGAGCAGAGCUGGUGAGUUUUCGGACAAGCCACUACGGGAUACGCCCGUUAACGCGUGACAGUAUGCAGAGAGUUUCUCUAAGUACUUGUGAGGCUGGAAUUCCAGCGAAUAAAGGUGGUAACACGGAAAUGAUACUUUCGUCCUUUGU
rnacentral:ncRNA from 1 species